GAAAUGCGAUAAGUAAUGUGAAUUGCAGAAUUCAUUGAAUCAUCGAAUCUUUAAACGCACCUUGCGCUCCUUGGUAUUCCUUGGAGCAUGCCUGUUUGAGUAUCAUGAAAUCUUCAAAGUAAAUCUUUUGUUAACUCAAUUGGUUUCUACUUUGGUAUUGGAGGUCUUUGCAGCUUCACACCUGCUCCUCUUUGUUCAUUAGCUGGAUCUCAGUGUUAUGCUUGGUUCCACUCGGCGUGAUAAGUUAUCUAUCGCUGAGGACACUGUAAAAGGUGGCCAAGGUAAAUGCAGAUGAACCGCUUCUAAUAGUCCAUUGACUUGGACAAUACUUUUAUGAUCUGAUCUCAAAUCAGGUAGGACUACCCGCUGAACUUAAGC
rnacentral:misc_RNA from 1 species